CCUUUGGCGGAGGCCUGGGCUUGGGGAAGGGGUCUGUUCUAGAUGGGGCGUCUCGAGAAGGGAGGUGGGGUAUGCGGCAGAGCAGGGUGCGCCUGGGUCCUCGACUAAACCCCCAGUGAGCCCGAGGUAUUUUCCUUAUAUGAUCAGGCCUGUCGUGGCCAGCACUGCUGGUCUGGAGCCUGAGAGGAUUACAAAAACGUGGCAGGGUUUCCGGCUGUCGUGAAACUCGACCUGUAAACUAGGCUAGGAACUGUGAGAUCCGCCUGAAUGCUGGGAAUAAAGGCGUGUUCCACCAAGUCCGGCUUUAACCUAACCAUUUUCCGGGAAAUUUUUCAGGAAUACAGAAAUGUGCGAAGAUUCGUGCUGUUUCAUGUCUACUCAUUAAAACCUUAUUUUUAAAAGCUGAUGUUUCCCUCACCCCGUGAACACUUCAGCACACACGUUUAUUUACAGUUCAUUUAGGAAUUUUCACGAAGUCACUUGCCCAGAGCUCGAGCUAGGUGAACAACUGUCUGCUCUUGCAUGCAUUCCUCUAUUUCAUUUGCCCUCCAAGGCACCACCCAAAGGGGCCUUCCACGUUUACUGUUGACUGUAAUCAUAAAUGUUGUGAAUGGGCCCUGAUAAAAUCAGAGUGAAAAGUUAACAUAAAUUCAAACAGGUAUGUGUAAGAAUAUCAACAGUUUCAGUAUCAGAAAAGAAACUGAGAUGUUCCCUUAAUCAAAUGAUCAGCCUUAGAAUCACCACAGACUUUGUUAACUCGCUUAUGGAGGAUACCACCUCCAAAUGACCUGAAUAUAAUCACAGCAAGGCAAGGCCAAAUUAAUAAUCAUGGAGGAGACUUGCUUUUGAAGGUUUGGUUUUGUUUGUAGUUAAAGGGUGAAGAAUCAGUAUCUGCAACUAAAAUCAUGCAGGAAAAAGAUGCAUAUAAACAGCAAGAAGGAAAACAAAUGGCAAAAAUGUUACUGAGGAGUGAAAAAGUGUGUGUUAUGCUGUGUUGUUUUCCUAUUUAUUUAUUUAUUUUUUGACAUUUAACAUUCUCACAAAGAAGAGGAAAAGUCUCCUCAACUAAAUUACAAAAUCACUUAAAGUAUUCUGUUAAGUGGUUAAAUAGUUAUUGAGGCAGGUAUACCUGUAACAUUACACCUUUCAAAGUAUAACUUAGGGGUCUAGACGGGGACAUCUGAGAUAGCGUUAUUAUACUAUUCUUAAAAGGUUUAGCCUUUUUAGAAAUGCAGUGUUGUCUCUUUCUGUAGUUAAUUUUAGAAGGGAAGAUGUAAUGUUAAUGUAAAAUUGGAAAUUAGCCAGUCAGUUGUGAAUCUGUAAAAUUCUACUGUGAGCUGUGACAAACUCCUGUAAUGCCAGCACUCUGGGAGGCAGAGGCAGAGGCAGGCCUGGUCUAUAAAGUGAGUUAAGGAGAGCCAAGGUUUUCCAAGAAACCCUGUCUUGGGGGGAAAAAAGGUUUUAUCAGGGUCUCAGAACUGUCCAGCUUCAGUCCUUUCCCACACUUUGAGUCAUUUUUUCCAUGCUUAACAGUUUUCCUUCUUUUCCUGUAAUAUUCAACAUUGGUAGAAGUUACAGUGCUGGCAGCUGAGGAGAGCAGGUGAAAUCAUGGGUGCUGUAAAGGUUCUAUAACAAGUGUAAUGACACUGAGCGUGUGUUGCACAUGUGUACUCAGAGCACUUGAGAAGUUGAAGAUGGUAAAUUCAUGUCAGCAUGGACUAGAUAAUAAGUCCCUGUGUAAAAAAAAAUGGUGUCUGUGCACUAUGUAAAGCUAUGCACAUAUGUACAGUCAGUCUGCUUUGGCAAGAACUUACAAGGCAAAUAUUAGCCUGGCUGUGUUUUUUUGUUUGUUUUUACUUUUUUUUUUUUACUUACAAGAAAUAUCUGCUCUCCAGGAAAUUCAAGUUGUCAUACAACGAUAAACUAUAGACAUGAAGUGAUAGAAAUGGAUUUGACCCUGUUUUAAUGAGUUCCAGAAGCUGUGAGGUAUUGUCUUAGAUUUGGGUUGAAAGCGUUUUUCUCGAUUUGCUUGCGAACUGUUUGCAGUUUCUAACAAGACUUUUUUAAAAUUUCAUGUAGCGGUACAGCUUAGAGCAGAUCUUGAUACAUCCUUGAGUACAGGUUUACCCUGUGAAGCAAUGAUGUUGGUGGAAGAAGACAGCGUUGUUUAGAUGUCUUUCAGUCAGGUCCCCAAACACGAGUAUUUAAAGCUUGUGCUAGGAGGGAAAGUAUACACUGAAGGCACACCCCAGGGAAUUGACUUAUGUCAGUAAGAAGGUGUAAGGGUUUUGUGUUUGGUUAGGGUUCAGAGAGGCAGGAGUUCCUGUCUGGAGGGGUGAUCAGUAAGUGCUAGUACAAGGCCAGCCAGUGUCACAGUGAGCCCUUGUCUGAAAACAAAAAUAGGAACCUAGUCUAAGAUAAGGAUAGUGACGCUGAGACUGCCAUGGUUGAGCAAUGCAGUUUUGUGGGAACGCUCAUAUACAGUCUCCAUGGAAGAAAAUGUUGUGUGGUGUGUGAGGGCUAAGCUCUAACAGCUUAGAGCUCGGCUGAAGCCACUUUGUGGAGAAGCUACAGUCUGUCACAGUAGUGAUGUUUAGCAUUCCAUGGUUUCCAUUUGUCUGUGGUUAGACAAAUGAAGUCACCUUAUUUCAGCUCAUUUCUUCAGUCACAGUUGGUGUUGGCAUUUUAUAAGAUCAGGCAUCUAUCUGGUAGGACCAACCGCUUGGGCUUUAGUCAAUGCUCAGGUUUGGAGUUGCAUACCCUACCUCACCCCAGCCGCUGGCUGCUAAGAGCGUCGUGUGUAAAGCUUGACAUAUAAAAUGUCAAGGUCCUGCUCAGGACGGGUGAAGACUUUCUUAGAGUGUGUCCCGCUCUCAGUUAUCAUAAAAGAGUCUGUCCUUUGGUUGGAAUCUGGGGUCAGAGACUUUUCACAAACACUGUGAACAUUACUUUUUUUUUAAAUGCAGAGUGGGAGCCCAAACCCAGAGUCCAGUAUGUACUAUUCAUUUCAAUAGUUGUUCCUAGUGAUGAGUGUCUGAGGUCGCUACCCAUGGAGCUGCUUUGUAAGUUUGGGGAGGGCUGUGAAUUUUUACUAACUCCCAGGCAAUUUUGAUGGUUUUUCUGAGGUAAGGAGGAGGACCAUGUUUCUGUCCAGAUGUUUGGUUACCAGUCUAUUUUAUUCUCUUGAUCCAUUUUUCUGACUACAUGCCACCAUCACAUGUCUGCCCCACCAGGGAAAGGCUUCCCAUAUUCUCAGGGAGUUUUUGCUGUUAUAUUCACAUUUUAGAAUGGGCUUUUCACAUUGAGAUCUUGUUUAUAGGGUGCAGAUGACAACAUUCCUUUAUCAGCAGAAAUUAUUUACUUCUGAGAUCUUAGUUUUAUCAUCAGCUUAAUGCCAUCCUCACCACAGUUAUAAAUACAGUUUGUUUGUUCUGUCUCUGGGCUCUAUUCUCUUUUAUCGAUCUGCCAACCUUCCUUCUACCCAAACUACCUUGAAUUCUAUAGCUCUAGAGUAAUUAAUUGCUCGAUAAACUUUGCUAUCUUCUAGAAAAAAAAUCCUCUUCCACCCCAAUGUACAGGUGGCUGUGUGCUGGCCCCUAGCUUAAACAAUUAUGCAUGACUGAGUCUGUGUGUCCCAGGAUAGGUUCUCAAGGAAGCAUUAAAAAUAGAGGCCAGAGGUGGCUCCAGAUAAGAGCAGAUGCUGUGCAAGCAGGAGGACCCAGAGUUCGAAUCCACAUCACAUACAAAAAGCUGGAUGCACUGGGUGUGUGCUCUAACCCCAGCACUGGGGGGCAGAGAUGAGUAGAUAUUGCUGCCUAGCUCAGAGAGUGAGCCUCUGAUCCAGUGAGAGACCUCGGUGGAAUAGGCCAGAGAGUGAGAGAGGUAGAUGCUGAACCUUCUCCCCCGAGCAUGUGACUGGCCUGGGCAGGUGUUUACACAUCACGUGGAGGCUAGAGAGGUGGCUCUGGGUGGCUCAGGUUAAAAGUGCUUGCUCAGAAGUCAUUAGGACCAGAGUUCAGCUUCCAGCUCACACCUAGCAAGCCAGGUAACACGGCAGACGCAAGCCAGAAGAGUCAGUGGGCCUGUGGACUACCAGCCUAACAGAAAACAGAGCCCAGGCUCAGGGAUGAAGCUGCCUUAAAGACUAGGCAGCGUAGUUAAGAACAUGACAGUCUUCUGGAUCCCUCAUGCUCACACAAGCGCACACACCCACAUACGUGUACAUACACAUAGAUACAUAUGCACGUACACAUAAAAAUUAUAUAAAAAAAUAAAUGUUAGCCAAGACUUUUAGUCAAACUGUCAUUUUAAAUUUUGUUCAGAUUUAGCACACCCCUUUAUUCAAAGGUAUUUAUUUCCACAAAUUUUAUCCACAGCUGAAUAAUUACAGCAACCAUUACAGGCAUUGUUUUUUAAAUAACAAAGCUGUAGCUUACAGACUUGUCCAAAAUGAAAAUACAGUAUUUCUUCUGUAGUGUUCGAUUUACUCCUGAAUACUCUGUGACCUUCUUCAGAGGCAGGCCUUUAUUUAAAUACCAGUUGAUUGCAAAUUUUAUAUCCAAAUUCUGGGUUCUUUAACCAUAUGACUUCAGACGGUCGCCUAAUUUCACUGGUUGAGUGCCUUUAUUAGAAUGCAUUUUGUUACAGUGUUUAUAAGUGCAGACAUAUGUGCCACGGACACAUGAAGUCAAAAGAGCUUUCAUGGUGGUCCCUGGGGAUUGAACUCAGGUUGGCAAGCACUUUUACCUACUGAUGAAGAGCUUAAGAUAGCCUGAAUAUAACUCCAUUUUGAAAUAAAGAUCUUGACUGGGAACUAAAUUCAGGUACCAGGAAAUGUCACAGAAUGUACACCUGGCAGAAAACAAAGUUAACUCUCCUAGCAACAGCCUCCAGGAAAUAUAACAGAAUAAAUGCUUCAUAGAAAAUAGAGACAAACUCCCUGGCAAUAAUCAAUGGGAAUUGGGUGGGAAAAUUCUCCCCAAUGUUUCAGAUAUGGUUUAGAAAAAUAGCCAUUGUGAUUAUAUGCCUUAGCCAUUGUGAUCAUGUGCCUCAGAAAAGGUCACCCCGCCCUGCUAAACUUCACCCAAUUCUGUAAUGCCAAGACUUGUGUCCCCCUGCUUGCUGCCAUGGAAACCCCCCAGCUCACAGACUUUCCCUUUAAAAAUCCUGUUCACUCACAGCUCGGGGUCCCACUUCUCUACUGCUGCGCCAGUGAGACUUGGGUCCCGAGUUCGAUCGCUCUGGUAAUAAAGCUCUCUUGCAAUUGCAUCGAGUCAUCUCCUGGUUGUCUCUGAGGGUCCCAUGAACCUGGCAUAACAUUUGGGGGCUCGUCCAUCCAGGAUGCCUCAAGACCUCUAAGACUCCUGGCCCGGAGAGCUUAAUCCCGCGGGUAAAUGUCUUCUAUGUUGUCCAUCUGCUUUAAAUGUUUGUUUGCCUUUAUUCUUUGUUUCUUAUCCUGAAAAGCCUCGAGGUGCUUACAGGAGCAGCCAGAUUAGGUAUGACAGACGUGUCAGGGCCUAGGCUGUGGGGGCUUCAAAAGACGUUUGUUGCCCUGGAGUUUCUGCCUCCUCGGGACCCCUGGGAUAGGGGGACUAGAGUGAGGAUCUGUUUCUGCCUCCGGAGUGAGGAUCGGUUUCCUGGAACUUCUGUGGCAGAGAAGCCCAGGUUUUGUCUGUUUCUGCCUCCUCAGAACCCCUGGGAUAGGGGGACUGGAGUGAGGAUCUGUCUUUACCUCCUCAGAACUCCUGGGAUAGGGGAACUGGAGUGAGGAUCGGUUUUCUGGAACUUCUGUGGCAGAGAAGUCCAGGUUUUCAGUGUUACUUGGUUUCUGUGUGUGAUUGUUUUAUUUUCCCCUUGGUGUUGUGCCCGGAGUUACUGUUUAAUUUUUGUGAUUAAUUGUUUGUGGUUUUGCGUCUACUUGAGAGUGUUUGAUUUUACUUUUGUUUAAAACUGCAGCUGUUUUCGUUUCUAUGAGUUCAGUUUUGUCCCGUGAUGUUAGCCCUGGUAUAGGCUGUAAGUUGUUGCCUUUGGUUUCGUUUUUGUCUGAGACAACCAGUUCUUUUUUGUGUAUGAGUGAUUUACUAUUUAUUGAAAUUGUUUUCCUUACUUCUUUUGCAUUCUCCUGAAUUCUUUUGACGAAUAGACUGACUGAUGAUAUGGGACAGAAUACCUCCAAACCUCUUGACUUGGUUCUGACUCAUUUUGGAGAAGUUAAAACUAGAGCUCACGGUCUUUCAGUUGAUGUGAGAAAAGAAAAAAAAAAUGACAUUUUUUGCAGCUCAGAAUGGCUCACCUAAAAUGUGAGCUAGUUGCCAGAAGGAACUUUCCACCUUCCCACUGGCCUUGCGAUGGGAAAUAGAGUCUUUCAGAAAGCAUGCGGGCACCCAGACCAAGUACCCUAUAUUGUAGUUUGGAAGGAUCUAGUUAUUCAUCUACCUUCAUAGAUUAAGCCUUUUCUGACCCUCACUAACAGUCCUCCUUCCACAGGCUCUCCGCAACCAGAGGCCACUGCCCUGGCUCCAUAGACCACCCCUUAAUCUGUUUUACAGGAUAGGACUCCCAUGGAAAUAAUUUUUCCAUCUCCUCCUCCUCCCACUCCUCAACCAACUCCUGUUCCUUUCCAAGAACCCAAAGCCUCCAUGCAGCUUCUCCCUCUGGGGAACCAGAGGCAGAUUCUACAGUCCUUCCCUUAUGGGCCACGGGGCCCUCCAGAUGCUAAUACAUCACAGGCUUAACUGGAGAACUCAGAAUGCCAAGUUCUCUGCUUUUUACCCACCAGCCCACCCGGGAGAAUUCCCAGCACCUUUUACAGGUCUUGUUUACCAAGAGGAGUGGGGAUGUAUUAUUUCAGAGGUGCACAAAAAUGUCCUAGACACUACAGGAGUUCCAACUACAAAUCCCAUAUCUUGAUUACUUUCCCUAUAAGAGGCCCAAUUGGGAUUACAACAAGGCUGCAGGUAGGGAACGUCUCCUAGUCUACUAUCGGGCUCUGUUGGCAGGUCUCAGGGCGAUCACAAGACGGCCCACUGAUUUGGCCAAGAUGUACAGAAACAGGAAAGAAUAGGCCAGCAUUUGUGUUCAAGUUUAAACUUGUCUCAGCAGAUUUUCAUCUGGUUGAAACUGCAAGCUGAGAUCUGAACUUCCUGGAAGUUGUCAUGAUUACUCACUGCCUCCUCCGGUGGACCACCUAACCAGACGUUUCUGAGGACUGCCCCAUUGCCCAGCCUUCAACUGGCAUUUCAGCCUUCCUAGCCCCUGAUGUCACUGAAGUAGUUUCAGAAGACGAGACCACUGGUCCAAAAUCUCUCCUACAGGCUGAAAUGCUCAGUCAAAGGUGGCUCCCUGAUAUUAGCUAUUAUCUUGGGGAUUACUUAGCUGGAGCAGAAACUAGUAUUGCAAUACAAUACUGGAUGUACAAAGCCAGAGUUAUAGCAGCUCAAGGGCAGAAUCUUUUGCUUUUGGCCAUUUUUGGAUCAGGCUUACUUAACAAGUUGUUAGAAUAUUAGAAAAGACUAAGAACUAUACAGUUAAUGGUAAUAAAAACCCAAUACAGUCAGCUUGGAGAUGACCUUAAAGACCUUGAACUGUAAGAGCCCAAGAUUGGCCUCUUCAGUUACAUGGAAAGGGGGAAAUGAAGAGCUUAAGAUAGCCUGAAUAUAACUGCAUUUUGAAAUAAAGAUCUUGACUGGGAACUAAAUUCAGGUACCAGGAAAUGUCACAGAAUGCACACCUGGCAGAAAACAAAGUUAACUCUCCUAGCAACAGCCUCCAGGAAAUAUAACAGAAUAAAUGCUUCAUAGAAAAUAGAGACAAACUCCCUGGCAAUAAUCAAUGGGAAUUGGGUGGGAAAAACAUUCUCCCCAAUGUUUCAGAUAUGGUUUAGAAAAAUAGCCAUUGUGAUUAUAUGCCUUAGCCAUUGUGAUCAUGUGCCUCAGAAAAGGUCACCCCGCCCUGCUAAACUUCACCCAAUUCUGUAAUGCCAAGACUUGUGUCCCCCUGCUUGCUGCCAUGGAAACCCCCCGGCUCACAGACUUUCCCUUUAAAAAUCCUGUUCACUCACAGCUCGGGGUCCCACUUCUCUACUGCUGCGCCAGUGAGACUUGGGUCCCGAGUUCGAUCGCUCUGGUAAUAAAGCUC